UCCAUUUACAUCUUUUUUCUAUAUAAUUUAUUGAUAUUUGAACCCUAAUGUAUAUUGCUCUUGAAAUAUACCAAAUUUUUCAUUCCACCUUGAUGAUGCAGCCGCAUUCAUUCUCUAUCCCUUUAAUGGAUUUUGAAACUUGGAUUUUUUUUUCCUCUGGUUGGGCACCAUGCUGAUUGUUCACCCCCCCCCCCCCUUAAUGGAUUCAUACUACGCCCCAUUAAUGGAUUUCGAAACUUGGUUUUUUUUUUCCUCUAUUUAUGCCAAUUAUGAUUGUUCAUCCCCCCUUUUCUGUUGUUCUAUAUUCUUAUUCUUAUUUCAAAUCCAAAGGUUUCCACCCCUGAAAUUGUUCUAUAUAAGUAGCUGUGUUGUUUGGUUCUAAUACCUAUAUUCUUCGCCUCUCACUCUCCUAUUCAGAUGCGCGUCUCCUCUCAGCUCAUGUCAAUCUCUCUAUUGCAAUGGUUCUCUAAAGCUUCACCAUGCAUCACCAAAGGCGCCCUAAUCCAGAUUUUCAACACGGCGCAGUACCUCCCUCUUUGCCCAAAAGAAUCAAUUCAACCUUUAAAAACUGGUGCUGCAACGAUCUCUCUCCCCGCAGCAACGAUCUCUCUACCCGUAUAUGGUAUCCUUGAUUUGGUUCUCAGCUUGCUCUUUGUUGACCAUGAAACUUCAUCAGUUUCCAUAGCCCUAGCUAUUUACUUCUUGCGAGGUUGUCCUCAAGCUAUGCAACAGUUGAGGGUAAGAAUACAUAUAUAUUUUCUCGGUUCAUCUUUUAGCAUAAAAACUAUUGAAUUUUUCUAUUGAUUAUUAAUUCUUUUUCCAUUGUUGUGUCCUGAAUAAUGAGAGGAAGAGGCACAAUGAAAUAGUUUGGACUGGCUCAGAUCUUUCUACGCAUGCCUUCCACUGUGCAUAGCUUCACAAAGAUCAAAUGCUGAUCAAGACAAUUCUCUUCAGCUUGGAGUUGGUUUUAUGUCUAGAAGAGAGUCUUCCACCUAAAUAAACUACAAGAAAUAAAUGGAGUGAAGUCGGUAAAGGUUCUAGCCCAGGAAAGAGAAACUACACUAAGAUAGAGCACGAGAAGGAAGCUUCGGUUUGAUCAAACAACGGGAGGUGGGAACAGCCUGGCGGGGGGGACUCAAAACAGUGUAAUCCCACAUCUAGAGUAUGAGCUGCAUUUGCAAGCCAAUCUGCAACUUGAUUUGCUUCACGAUGAACAUGAACACAAAGGGCCUUCCAAUCCUUAGCCAAUAAAGCUCUAAUCUGGAAGACAAGCGAUGCAUAAGGAUGAGUUUAACAUGAGUGUUCUUUUUGCCAUUGAUUUUACUUUGUUAUAUUCCUACAUAUUUUUUCUUUUCAUGUGGAAGAACUUCAAGGGGUUUUGGAUGAGCUGAAAUUAUGUAUUGGGAGAUGUCCUGGCUAGAUUUAUCUAGAAUUUUUUCCAUGUUUUGUUCUGGUUUGGAUACCCAUUACAAUACAAUACAUGAUUAGUUUCUUAAUUAUCAUGAUUGGGGCUUUAGAUGAGUAAUAGUUUUGCCAAUUCAUUUGCUUUGUAAAAUGGGUUCUUCUUAGUUCUUUACAUUUUGUAAUACUUCAUCACACUGCAUGACUUAUUUUUUGUUUACCUGAUGAAGUUUGACCUUUAUAAAUGCUUCCCAAUUUAUAACAAGUUAUUUUUCUUUUAUACUUUAAAUUCAAAUUCUCUCCUCUCUUAUAAAAACAUUGCUCUAUCUUCAUCUGAGCAGAUCAAGCACUGUGUGGCAUAUCAUGAAUGUUGAUGAAUCCUUGAUUUCAUCUCUUUAAUUCAUCCCAUUUUAUUCACAUACCAAUGUUAGUAAAUUCUUAAAUAACAUGGUUUAUAUUGAAAAAUUUAAGUCCACCUUUAUAUACAUGGAACAAUCGUAUCUUCCAACAAUAUAACAUCUGAUGGCUUAUGAAAUCUUGAGAAAUGCCAUUUAUUUAUUUUGAUU